AACGAACGCUGGCGGCGCGCCUAAUACAUGCAAGUCGAGCGAGAAGACGUAGCAAUACGUUUGUAAAGCGGCGAACGGGUGAGGAAUACAUGGGUAACCUACCCUCGAGUGGGGAAUAACUAGCCGAAAGGUUAGCUAAUACCGCGUACGCUCCUUGGACUUCGGUUCAGGGAGGAAAGCGAUACCGUGGGUAUCGCGCUCUUGGAUGGGCUCAUGUCCUAUCAGCUUGUUGGUGAGGUAACGGCUCACCAAGGCUUCGACGGGUAGCUGGUCUGAGAGGACGAUCAGCCACACUGGCACUGCGACACGGGCCAGACUCCUACGGGAGGCAGCAGUAAGGAAUAUUGCGCAAUGGGCGAAAGCCUGACGCAGCGACGCCGCGUGGGGGAUGAAGGUCUUCGGAUUGUAAACCCCUUUCGGGGUAGGGAAGAGUGGAACGAGCAAUCGUUCGGACGGUACCUCCAGAAGCAGCCACGGCUAACUUCG
rnacentral:rRNA from 1 species